rnacentral:rRNA from 1 species
UACGUAGGGCGCAAGCGUUAUCCGGAAUUAUUGGGCGUAAAGAGCUCGUAGGCGGUUUGUCGCGUCUGCCGUGAAAGUCCGGGGCUCAACUCCGGAUCUGCGGUGGGUACGGGCAGACUAGAGUGAUGUAGGGGAGACUGGAAUUCCUGGUGUAGCGGUGAAAUGCGCAGAUAUCAGGAGGAACACCGGUGGCGAAGGCGGUCUCUGGGCAUUACCUGACGCUGAGGAGCGAAAGUGUGGGGAGCGAACAGG